rnacentral:rRNA from 1 species
AUUGAACGCUAGCGGGAUGCCUUACACAUGCAAGUCGAACGGCAGCGCGGACUUCGGUCUGGCGGCGAGUGGCGAACGGGUGAGUAAUGUAUCGGAACGUGCCCAGUAGCGGGGGACAACCACUCGAAAGAGUGGCUAAUACCCGCAUACGCCCUACGGGGGAAAGGGGGGAUCGCAAGACCUCUCACUAUUGGAGCGGCCGAUAUCGGAUUAGCUAGUUGGUGGGGUAAAGGCCUACCAAGGCGACGAUCCGUAGCUGGUUUGAGAGGACGACCAGCCACGACUGGGACUGAGACACGGCCCAGACUCCUACGGGAGGCAGCAGU